rnacentral:rRNA from 1 species
GAUGAACGCUGGCGGCGUGCCUAACACAUGCAAGUCGAGCGGCAGCGAGGGGUGCUUGCACCCUGUCGGCGAGCGGCGGACGGCUGAGUAACGCGUGGGAACGUGCCCCAAAGUGAGGAAUAACUGCCCGAAAGGGUAGCUAAUACCGCAUAUUAUCUUCGGAUCAAAGGAUUUAUCCGCUUUGGGAGCGGCUCGCGUCGGAUUAGGUAGUUGGUGAGGUAAUGGCUCACCAAGCCGACGAUCCGUAGCUGGUCUGAGAGGAUGACCAGCCAGACUGGAACUGAGACACGGUCCAGACUCCUACGGGAGGCAGCAGUGAGGAAUCUUCCACAAUGGGCGAAAGCCUGAUGGAGCAACGCCGCGUGCAGGACGAAGGCCUUCGGGUUGCAAACUGCUUUUAUAAGUGAGGAAUAUGACGGUAACUUAUGAAUAAGGAUCGGCUAACUACGUG